AGAGUUUGAUCCUGGCUCAGGAUCAACGCUGGCGGCGUGCCUAAUGCAUGCAAGUCGAACGGGUUGCUUUCGGGCAAUCACGUGGCGGACGGGUGCGUAACACGUGGGCAAUCUGCCCCGAGGUGGGGGAUAGCCAUCGGAAACGGUGGGUAAUUCCGCAUGAGCUCGCUUUUCUGUGGGGAGAGUGAGGAAAGCCGAAAGGCGCCUUGGGAGGAGCCUGCGGCCGAUUAGCUAGUUGGUGGGGUAACGGCCUACCAAGGCGAUGAUCGGUAGCUGGUCUGAGAGGACGGCCAGCCACACGGGGACUGAGAGACGGCCCCGACUCCUACGGGAGGCAGCAGCAAGGAAUCUUCCGCAAUGGGCGAAAGCCUGACGGGGCAACGCCGCGUGGGGGACGACGCUUUUCGGAGUGUAAACCCCUUUUCUUGGGGACGAAAGACUGACGGUACCCGAGGAAGAAGGACCGGCUAACUACGUGCCAGCAGCCGCGGUAAUACGUAGGGUCCGAGCGUUGUCCGGAGUUACUGGGCGUAAAGCGCGCGCAGGCGGCUUCAUAAGACUGGCGUGAAAGCCUCCGGCUCAACCGGAGAGGGUCGUCGGUGACUGUGGAGCUUGAGAGUGGCAGGGGCUGGUGGAAUGCCUGGUGUAGUGGUGAAAUGCGUAGAGAUCAGGCGGAACACCCGUGGCGAAGGCGGCCAGCUGGGCCAAAUCUGACGCUGAGGCGCGAAGGCGUGGGGAGCGAACGGGAUUAGAUACCCCGGUAGUCCACGCAGUAAACGAUGCAGACUAGGCGUGGGGGGACUUGACCCCUUCCGUGCCGGAGCCAACGCGGUAAGUCUGCCGCCUGGGGAGUACGGCCGCAAGGCUAAAACUCAAAGAAAUUGACGGGGGCCCGCACAAGCGGCGGAGCGUGCGGUUUAAUUCGACACAACGCGCAGAACCUUACCAAGGCUUGACAUGCGACUGCAGGCCCCGGAAACGGGGCGUCCCUUGAGGGUGUCGCACAGGUGCUGCAUGGCUGUCGUCAGCUCGUGCCGUGAGUUGUUGGGUUAAGUCCCGCAACGAGCGCAACCCCCGCUGCCAGUUGAAUGAUCUGGCGGGACUGCCGGUCGCAAACCGGAGGAAGGUGGGGAUGACGUCAAGUCAGCAUGGCCCUUACGUCUUGGGCUACACGCACGCUACAAUGGCCGGGACAGAGGGUUGCCAAGCCGUGGGCGGAGCCAAUCCCCCAAACCCGGUCUCAGUUCAGAUCGUGGGCUGCAACUCGCCCACGUGAAGUCGGAGUCGCUAGUAACCGCAGGUCAGCAGUACUGCGGUGAAUAUGUUCCCGGGCCUUGUACACACCGCCCGUCACGUCAUGAAAGCCGGCAAUGCCUGAAGCCGGUGGGCCAACCUUCGGGAGGCAGCCGUCGAGGGCAGGGUUGGUGAUUGGGACGAAGUCGUAACAAGGUA
rnacentral:rRNA from 1 species